CUCCAACAAAUCCCAGCUCAAUUUGUUCCAAACCUUCGAAACAAUGUCUUUUUCAGCGCCAAGAAAACAAACCCUUUUCAUAUUAUCUCUUGUAAUUCUCUGGUAUACUUCCAACAUUGGUGUUCUUUUACUCAACAAGUACUUACUCUCCAAUUAUGGCUUCAGGUUCCCAAUCUUCCUUACAAUGUGUCACAUGUCAGCUUGUGCAAUUCUUAGUUAUUUCUCCAUUGCGUUUCUCAAAAUUGUUCCCUUACAACCUAUCAAAUCAAAGUCUCAGUUUUUCAAGAUUGCAACUUUAAGUGCCGUGUUUUGUGGGUCUGUUGUGGGUGGCAAUAUUUCGCUCAGAUAUCUUCCUGUUUCGUUUAAUCAAGCUGUGGGUGCUACGACACCCUUUUUCACUGCUUUGUUCGCUUAUUUGAUGACCCUUAAGAGGGAGGCUUGGGUUACCUAUGCUGCCCUUGUGCCUGUUGUUGCUGGUGUUGUCAUUGCUAGUGGGGCAAGAACAGAAAAUUCCAGAAACUGUAAAUCGUUUUCUAGUUGGAAAAACCAAUCAGCAUGUGCAACACAAGUGCCAGGGAGGAAGAAAGCGUGUCACUGUUCAUCCACACGAGUGGGUGAGCCAGGUUUUCAUUUAUAUGGAUUUAUAAUGUGCAUUAGUGCAACUGCAGCAAGGGCCUUCAAGUCUGUUCUUCAGGGUAUCCUGCUUUCUUCUGAAGGGUAAAUGCUUAAUUGCUUUCGUUACUUUAGCUAUACUUAGCGCAUUCUGUAUUGUAGCUAAUACCAUUAGAAAAUCUAUUUCUUUUAGAAAAUAAAUCAUACUUUAUCAUUUAAAAUUCAAAAUUAAUAGAGUCAACUGCUUUAUGUCAUAGUUCAUGGAAAAAGAUGCAACUUUUACAUUUCUUUUAAAUGGAAAAGAAAUAUAAAUAUAUAGUGGAGGGUAUCUUCUCAAAAGCUGGUUGAGAGAAAAUUUAUUUCUUGAAGAAAAUUGUGGCAUUCUUUGAAACAUAUUGUCAAAGGAAUUAAGUCAAUUGAUGUUUGAGGAUGCGUGUAUAAAUUUCCACUUUAAACUGUAGCAAUAAUAUUUUUCUUCCUCCUCUUUUAUGCCUUGCAUCAAAUUGAAUUAUCAUUCUGCUUGCUGCAAGAAUGAUAAUAAAAUGAAAAAUAAGAAAAAAUUGUCUACAAUUGAACACUAGCCAAUUCUGAGAAGUGAACAUGCAUUGAGAUGAACGCUUGUUCUCAAGUACCAUAUAUGUGUCGUUUUAAUUAAGUUCCUUUCAUAACAUUCUUAGUACUGAAUGUCUAUUUAGAUGUUUUAUGUUAAAAAACAAUUCUUAUUGAAUCCUUCUAGUCGCUUAAUGAUAUUAUUAAACAGUCUUGGAGCUUCAAAAAGGUGUUCUUUCAAGUUGGUUAUCCAAGUGUUUCUCUGUAAUACUUUUGAGCAGCCUUUGUUCAUGAGGUUAUAAGGGAGUGUAUUUGUUUGACCCUGUCCAUGUGCACGAUUUAUCACCAAGGGGUUUCAUAAGCACUUUUCAAAUUCCACUGGGAUGCACUCUCCUUUUCGCAGCUAAACUGUGCUUAUUUGUUAAUUUUCAAAUUUCUUAAUGGAUUGUCCAUGAAGGUGGCUGACUUAUAUAUACCUCAUGCAGACUUCCUCUCUAACUUUCUUCAUAAUAUAAAGAGAAAUGAUUUCUGUAACUUUGUCCUUUCCCUUACUGUAGAAAGAGUUUGUUGGUAUUUUAGCUCCUCUUAAGUGACAUGCAUUUGGCUUGGUACAGUUUUGCUGUUUGUUCACUAGUAAACAGUCCAAGCUUGACUGGUAAGUAUUUGGUCUAUAAUCUUGCUAAAAUUUAAGUCAGAUCAGUUCUCAAAACUAAUUUUAGUUUUUCUUUGUGCUCGCAGCAUUGAUUGAUUAUGCCAAGGUCUUAUGCUUAUUGCUUCUCUAAUUUUGAGGCAUUAACAUAUUUUUAUUUAUUCUUUCUUUUCCAUCUUUUAACUAUUCUUCUCUGUCAAAUAAAAAUAACAAAUCAUAGAAAAAGAAAUAGGUAAAUAGAAGAUCCAAGAGGCCUGUAAUGAUCAACAUAAAGACAAGUACCAACUUUAUUUUUUGGCAUUCUAAUUAUAAUCAUAAA